rnacentral:rRNA from 1 species
UACGAAGGGGGCUAGCGUUGCUCGGAAUCACUGGGCGUAAAGCGCACGUAGGCGGAUCUUUAAGUCAGGGGUGAAAUCCUGGAGCUCAACUCCAGAACUGCCUUUGAUACUGGGGAUCUCGAGUCCGGAAGAGGUGAGUGGAACUCCGAGUGUAGAGGUGAAAUUCGUAGAUAUUCGGAAGAACACCAGUGGCGAAGGCGGCUCACUGGUCCGGUACUGACGCUGAGGUGCGAAAGCGUGGGAGCAA